UACGUAGGGUGCGAGCGUUGUCCGGAAUUACUGGGCGUAAAGAGCUCGUAGGUGGUUUGUCGCGUUGUUCGUGAAAACCGGGGGCUUAACCCUCGGCGUGCGGGCGAUACGGGCAGACUUGAGUACUGCAGGGGAGACUGGAAUUCCUGGUGUAGCGGUGGAAUGCGCAGAUAUCAGGAGGAACACCGGUGGCGAAGGCGGGUCUCUGGGCAGUAACUGACGUGGAGCAGCGA
rnacentral:rRNA from 1 species